AUUGUUGUGAGCACACCACAAUUAGACACUGCGUAGACAACUUGGUUACUUGGUAAUACAGUACAUGUAUUAUCAUAAAUUUUUUUCUAAUCCACAUCAGUCAAUUCGCUGGAUAUAAAUCAGUGAUUUUUCAUUUUUCAUGUACAUUGUAAAAAAUUAAGGGUAUAAUUUAGUUGUCACUUUUCACCCAUGGUUUACUAAGCUUUUCAUACAUAUGAAGGUUUUAAUGGAUCGCUUUCAACAGGCCUGAUAUGUUGAAUUUUUUUUGUCAUGCCAUGAAAAUGGGGUAAAAAUAGGUUUAUUCAAAUCAUACACCAUUGAAUGUGCAUUUGUUUGGUGAGAGCAUUUCUUAAGUAUAGUCAAUAUAAAAUUAGCAUUAGUUAUUUAUGAUAUUAAUGAUGAUAUUCACACCACUAUGUGUGUAUCAGAAAUCGGUCACCUCAUUUUAAUACUUGUAUGUGAAUUACUGACAUGCGUUGAGCAUCGUGAAUUUUAAUUAUUGUGAUUAAAUCACCUUGUACACCAGAAAUGCCUGCAACAUGUGUAUGUGUGUUGUGCAGAUUAAUUUCACACAGGGCAGAGUGUGAUGUUUGCCAAAAUUUAUAAACAUGUAUAUAAAAUGCAUUUAUUUUGAUUAGUUUUUUUUUUUAUUAUUGAAAAUGGAAUGGUUUGUGACGAAUCAAAUUGCAAUAAAAUUUGAAAUAUA
rnacentral:misc_RNA from 1 species